ACCGUGCAAAGGUAGCAUAAUCACUUGUUCCUUAAUUAGGGACUUGUAUGAACGGUUAAAUGAGGGCAAAACUGUCUCCUACAGUUAAUCAAUGAACCUGAUCUUACAGUACAAACGCUGUAAUUUACUUAUAAGACGAGAAGACCCUGUGGAGCUUUAAACUUCUACAUUAAAUUAAAACUAUAUUAUAAUGUAAAAUUUUAAGUUGGGGCGACUGUGGAGUAAAAAAAAACCUCCAUGAAACUCGACUAAUCCUCGUCAUAAAGGCCAACAAGCCUAACAAAAACGUUUGACCCAAUCAUAUUGAAUACCGAACCAAGUUACCCCAGGGAUAACAGCGCCAUCCCCUUAAAGAGUUCACAUCGCCAAGGGGGUUUAC
rnacentral:rRNA from 1 species